GAUGAACGCUGGCGGCGUGCCUAAUACAUGCAAGUCGAGCGAAUGGAUUAAGAGCUUGCUCUUAUGAAGUUAGCGGCGGACGGGUGAGUAACACGUGGGUAACCUGCCCAUAAGACUGGGAUAACUCCGGGAAACCGGGCUAAUACCGGAUAACAUUUUGAACCGCAUGGUUCGAAAUUGAAAGGCGGCUUCGGCUGUCACUUAUGGAUGGACCCGCGUCGCAUUAGCUAGUUGGUGAGGUAACGGCUCACCAAGGCAACGAUGCGUACCCGACCUGAGAGGGUGAUCGGCCACACUGGGACUGAGACACGGCCCAGACUCCGACGGGAGGCAGCAGUAGGGAAUCUUCCGCAAUGGACGAAAGUCUGACGGAGCAACGCCGCGUGAGUGAUGAAGGCUUUCGGGUCGUAAAACUCUGUUGUUAGGGAAGAACAAGUGCUAGUUGAAUAAGCUGGCACCUUGACGGUACCUAACCAGAAAGCCACGGCUAACUACGUGCCAGCCGCCGCCGUAA
rnacentral:rRNA from 1 species